rnacentral:rRNA from 1 species
AUGCAGUUUGUAACGGGUAUAGACAAUAAUUGGGUUUCAUUCAUCUCAAGGAUUAAGGUGUUCAGUGGAGAGAUGGAGAUGUGUUCAGAAUUAUUUGGUUCAUUAGUUGGACAGUUAGAAUGGGUUUUCAAUUUCAUUCAUUCAGAGACUGGUUGUGGUUGCGCUCCAUUUCGUGCUGAGCACAUCACAUCACAUUUCACAUGUGCAGCCUUGAAUGUUUCAUUCAUCAUCUCUUAUGUACAGCAAGGUAUCUUGCCAAGCCCAACCAACAGAUCAAACACACGCACACGGCACAAGGAUAACAGCCGCUGA